GUGGGUCUUUAGCUCCCGGUGCGAUCAGUGACUUACAUUCGCUCGUUCGGAAAACUUGUAUUUCGCUUUCUCUCGUGUGCGUCUUUGGAAGCAAGUUUGGACCCAAAUGGACGGACUUACGCAGUGCGCCGGUCAGUCAGUUAACGUAUAAUUAACCAAUUCUGUUACUCAUACAAUUCUCCUGCGUGCAGACGAGUGCCAUCGAUGAGUAGUGCAUCAUAAAAAUAUGGGGUGCCGGUGGUGUUGUGUGGUGAAGUGCUUUUUUCCCAGCAGUAACGGAGCGUCGACAAGGGUUGAGCGAAGAAAAAGCGAGCCGCUAAAGUUAGCAAUUAUAUGCUUUAAUGAUAUUUUACUGUCCCCUCGUGUCUCUUCCAACGAAAUAAAAGCUGAUCCAAAGGUUUUGUUUUCACUGCAGCAGCGAAGAUCCCAGUGAGAGAUAGGAGCUGAAAUAUAUACAGCCCGAAUAAAAACAUCAUUUGACAUCGAUUGUGUUUCUGUGUGUGAGUGCAUAUAUGAUCGCGAGUGUACGUGUCGCGUAAUACGUCAGAUUUUUUUUCCUCGGCCUUUUCUGACUGAUGGCAAUCGGUGAUUGUUGAACAACGCGAAAAGACUGACGGAGAAAGAGAAAAAGUGUGAUUAGAAGGAAGAUUUAACGGAUUAGUGAUAAAUUGUGGAGUGGAAUAAAAGCUCCAUAAUAGCACCUCAGACCCUGCCUGGAUCGGUUGGUCCGGUUCCAGCGAAGAGAGUGCUCGUGUGCGGGGAGUGUGCCCGACUAUCACUGGCUGGUGAGAAAGACUCGACGGUUGCCGUCAAGUUAUUUUCACCGCGUGAAACAAGGUCAAUAGGAGUUUUUUCUUCUCUUCUUAAUCGGUGGGACGGUGAAUUUUGAUUGGUGUGGAAGAAACCCUGAAUGGAAGGUGCGCCGAAGCAAACGUAGCUAAUUAAUCGUUCUAGUUUGAGAAUUCGUGUCUGGGAAUUGUACGGAUAAUUGGUUCAUUACCACAAACGAAAGGCGCAGUGUUUUGAUGCUAGUCGUUGUAAUUGGUGUUGUUUGAAUACUUCCGAGAUCGACGAGCGAUCGGAUAUUUGUUACGGUCGUAUACCGGCAUCAAUUUUUACCAGCUAAGGAACUCAUUGAAAGAAU